rnacentral:rRNA from 1 species
GACGAACGCUGGCGGCGUGCUUAACACAUGCAAGUCGAACGGUAAGGCCCCUCGGGGUACACGAGUGGCGGACGGGUGAGUAACACGUGGGUGAUCUGCCCUGCACUUCGGGAUAAGCCUGGGAAACUGGGUCUAAUACCGGAUAGGACCACUGCCUGCAUGGGUGGUGGUGGAAAGCGCUUGCGGUGUGGGAUGGGCCCGCGGCCUAUCAGCUUGUGGGUGUGGUGAUGGCCUCCCAAGGCGACGACGGGUAGCCGGCCUGCGAGGGUGACCGGCCACACUGCGACUGAGAUACGGCCCAGCCUCCUACGGGAGGCAGCAGUGGGGAAUAUUGCACAAUGGGCGCAAUCCUUAUGAAGCAACUCCGCGUGAGGGAUGACUGCCUUCGGUUUGUAAACCUCUUUCAGCACCGACGAAGCGCAAGUGACGGUAGGUGCAGAAGAAGGACCGGCCAUCUACGUGCCAGCCGCCGCAGUAA